CUUUCCCCUCCCUCCUCAGAAUGAAUUGAGGGAAACAGCAAUCCCGGGGAAGUGAAUACACGUCACUACCGGAAGUAAUGUCAGAGGGGAAGAGGAGGAGGGAAGAGAGGAGGAGGGAGCCCUUUG
ensembl:miRNA